rnacentral:rRNA from 1 species
AGAAUCAACGCUGGCGGCGUGCCUAACACAUGCAAGUCGAACGAGAAAGUGGAGCAAUCCAUGAGUAAAGUGGCGACCGGGUGAGUAACACGUGACUACCUACCCUUGAGUGGGGGAUAACCUCGGGAAACCGAGGCUAAUACCGCAUAAUAUCGAAAGAUCAAAGGAGUAAUCCGCUUUUGGAGGGGUCGCGGCUGAUUAGCUAGUUGGUAGGGUAAUGGCCUACCAAGGCGAAGAUCGGUAUCCGGCCUGAGAGGGCGCACGGACACACUGGAACUGAAACACGGUCCAGACUCCUACGGGAGGCAGCAGUGGGGAAUUUGCGCAAUGGGGGAAACCCUGACGCAGCAACGCCGCGUGGAGGAUGAAGGCCCUUGGGUCGUAAACUCCUUUCGACCGGGAAGAAACUGACGGUACCGGUGGAAGAAGCACCGGCUAACUCUGCGCCAGCAGCCGC